UGAAAUUGGGAGCAGUGCUGCACUCAGACCGCCUGUCUGCCUCUGAAGAUAAACUCCAGAGGCAGACAGGCGGUCUGAGUGCAGCACUGCUC